rnacentral:rRNA from 1 species
GAUGAACGCUGGCGGCGUGCCUAAUACAUGCAAGUCGAGCGAACAGACGAGGAGCUUGCUCCUCUGACGUUAGCGGCGGACGGGUGAGUAACACGUGGAUAACCUACCUAUAAGACUGGGAUAACUUCGGGAAACCGGAGCUAAUACCGGAUAAUAUAUUGAACCGCAUGGUUCAAUAGUGAAAGACGGUUUUGCUGUCACUUAUAGAUGGAUCCGCGCCGCAUUAGCUAGUUGGUAAGGUAACGGCUUACCAAGGCAACGAUGCGUAUCCGACCUGGGAGGGUGAUCGGCCACACUGGAACUGAGACACGGUCCAGACGCCUACGGGAGGCAGCAGUAGGGAAUCUUCCGCAAUGGGCGAAAGCCUGACGGAGCAACGCCGCGUGAGUGAUGAAGGUCUUCGGAUCGUAAAACUCUGUUAUUAGGGAAGAACAAAUGUGUAAGUAACUAUGCACGUCUUGACGGUACCUAAUCAGAAAGCCACGGCUAACUACGUG